GGAAAUCCUGAACGAUGCCAGCUGUUUGUGUUGCUUAAUGGAAAAUUUAUAGCCUAGGCAAAGAUGAGAACUUUCAGCCCCGCAAAAGAAAUUUAUUUAUGGGAACAGGAGGGGCAAGCCCAAGCCUUCCCGAGAACUCCAAGAUAAAUGAGCUGCAAUAGCUCGGGGAAAAAAUCCUGUCAACUUGUUUCCUCUGUGAAAUGGCAGGGUUGGAGAAGAUGACACCCAAGACCCU